rnacentral:rRNA from 1 species
UACGUAGGGUGCAAGCGUUAAUCGGAAUUACUGGGCGUAAAGCGUGCGCAGGCGGUUGUGCAAGACAGAUGUGAAAUCCCACGGCUUAACCGUGGAACUGCCUGUCAGACUGCAUGGCUUGAGACCAGGAGAGGUGAGUGGAAUUCCUAGUGUAGCGGUGAAAUGCGCAGAUAUUAGGAGGAACACCGGUGGCGAAGGCGCUGCUCUGGGCCGAAACUGACGCUGAGGAGCGAAAGCGUGGGUAGCAAACAGG